GCCGGGCGUGGUGGCACACGCCUCUAGUCCCAGCAGCUCGGGAGGCUGAGGCAGGAGGAUGGCAAAUUCAAAGCCAGCCUCAGCAAUGUCGAGGCGCUAAGCAGCUCCGUGAGACCCUGUCUCUA
rnacentral:sRNA from 1 species